rnacentral:rRNA from 1 species
GCCCAGCCGUAAACAAUUAACUUACACCAAUAAGCGCCAGGGAAUUACGAGCCGCGCUUAAAACCCAAAGGAUUUGACGGUGUCCCACCCAACUAGAGGAGCCUGUUCUAUAAUCGAUGAUCCUCGCUAUACCUAACCACCCCUCGCUAACCAGUCUGUAUACCUCCGUCGAAAACUUACCGUGUGAACGUCCUCAGUAAGUUCAAUGGCCACAUCACGUCAAUACGUCAGGUCAAGGUGCAGCUUAAGGAGUGGAAAGUAAUUGGCUACAAUUUCUAAUCUAGAACAAACGAAAGACUGCGUGAAAUCACAGUCAUGAAGGUGGAUUUAGCAGUAAAAAGAAAAUAGAGAGUUCUUUUUAACCCGGCUCUGGGACGUGUACACACCGCCCGUCACCCUCUUCAACAGUAAUACUACCUAGUUCCUAACCCAUUUAUACAUCUUAGAAGAGGCAAGUCGUAACAUGGUAAGUGUACUGGAAAGUGCACUUGGUAAAUAACAAAAUGUAGCUUAA